GACGAACGCUGGCGGCGUGCUUAACACAUGCAAGUCGAACGGAAAGGCCCUGCUUUUGUGGGGUGCUCGAGUGGCGAACGGGUGAGUAACACGUGAGUAACCUGCCCUUGACUUUGGGAUAACUUCAGGAAACUGGGGCUAAUACCGGAUAGGAGCUCCUGCUGCAUGGUGGGGGUUGGAAAGUUUCGGCGGUUGGGGAUGGACUCGCGGCUUAUCAGCUUGUUGGUGGGGUAGUGGCUUACCAAGGCUGUGACGGGUAGCCGGCCUGGGAGGGUGACCGGCCACAUUGGGACUGCGAUACGGCCCAGACUCCUACGGGAGGCAGCAGUGGGGAGUAUUACACAAUGGGCGGAAGCCUGAUGCAGCAGCGCCGCGUGCGGGAUGACGGCCUUCGGGUUGUAAACCGAUUUCGCCUGUGAUGAAGCGUGAGUGACGGUAAUGGGUAAAGAAGCACCGGCUAACUACGUG
rnacentral:rRNA from 1 species